rnacentral:lncRNA from 1 species
AGAUUUGGAGUACGAGAAAAUGAGCGGGAUUUUCAAAGAUGAUAGUUGUAUCUUUGAACAUGUAGAGUUGGAAGUAUGUUGGACUUGAGUUAUUUGUUUGACCUGUGUGAAUAUGGAGUUCCACAGGUAGAUCUGACACUUGGGGGGAGCCCAUCUAUCGGUGGACUUUGAAGACGUGAGGGGGACACAGCACAGAAGGUGAAGAGAAGGGCUAAUGUCAUAGCUUGUCGUAAACACCACUCGAAUUCCCACCUCUUCCCCAGCUGCUUCUCCACAUGUCAACAUUGAAACCAUAGCAUAUUACUUAACCUCUUCUUAAGGUGCUGUGUAAUCUUUAAUACACAUUGAUCAAUGUCUGAAUCCCCCCCUCGCAUCAACUGAGUUCUCUUUUUUAUUUAUUUAUUAUUUAUUUUUUUAAUCUUUUAUCUUUUUAGGGCCACACACUUGCGUUUCUGUGGCUGUGGUGUAGGCUGGCAGCUGCAGCUCCAAUUCGAUCCCUAGCCUGAGAACCUCCAUAUGCCACAGGUGGGCUGCCAUAAAAAGGAAAAAAAAGAAAAAACUAAACAAAGAAAGUGCCUCUGACUUCUUGAUUACACUGUGUGGCCUCACCAGAGGAAAUAAACAGCAAACUUAAAUAACCUGUAAUCUGCCUCCAUAUUGCUGGUCUUAUUUUCAUCUCAUAAUAAAAUACAGAGGCAUGAUUGCUUUAUACUUUACCACUAGAUGGCUGAAUUACAUUGGGUUUAGAAAAAGAGUAAAGUCUUCCUUGAAGUAGCCUGAUAUGUAACAUUAACAAAAAUGUAUCUAGUAUAUAAAUAUAUAUAUGCACUUAUACAUAUGUACACAUACACACACACACAUAAAUAAUUUAAUCUUGAAUAGUUGAGCUAACUAGAAUUGAGUUGUUUCUUAAAAACUUGUAAAAAGCCUUCUUUGUAUGAUUUUAGCUUUAAUUUAUGAAAUAGGUUACAUUUUGAUAAGACAUAUAAAAGGCCAGUGUAUUUUAAAAUCAUAUUCUUGCACAGAAUAUCCACAAACAUUGGCUCUCAAAGUUUCACAGAUACCUUGAGGGUGAAUUUAACUCUGUUGGAGAAAUAACACCUGUACUAUCAGAUGAAUACAUUCACUUUAUAUUUAAACACAGUGUUUUGUAGCAUCUAUGUUCAACUACAGUUCAAAAUAAAACAAAAAGAUAGUACUCCAUGUCUUCAUUUAAAUGUUAAGCUGUAAAACACUUUUUUUUUUUUUUCCAGAAAUAUAUUAACUCUGAACCACAUGAAAUUGCCAUAUUUGUAUGUCAGAACAGUAAACUGUAAGCAGUUUAAUGUAGCUUAACCUAAUAAUUUCUUAUUAUUUUAGCAAUUUUUAUUUCUUACAUUUCAUUCAGUGACCUGAACAGUUCCUAUCAUUUGAGGGUUAGCCUUGGUCAGCUAAAGGCUUGACCUUGGCACGUUACUUUCUUCACCUUCUCUCUGGGAUUUUGUGGAUGAUAACAUGCUCAGAAGUGCAGUUUGGCAAAGUAACCUUCCAGGGUGACAGUAGUUCUUACUCAAAGCCAAAAAGAUUGUCCGAGGACCGUUUUAGUGUAAAGUUAGAUGUACUACACUCAGGAAGUGCAGGCUGCAUCUUUGAAAUUAGGAUGUACAAUCUGUGUCUAACAGAAUAUUUCUGAGUUUAAUUUGAUAAUGUGCUAGUUCAAGUGAAUGAGCAAAAACAUGUUAAAAUGUGGGUCUCAAAUCAACAUUGAUUUGCAAUGUAUUUUCUUCUGUGGAGUAGCAUUAAUAUAAUACUCUAAUGAUUUUAUUUUUGGUACCCAGUGGUAGUGUUAACGUUUAAAAAUCUAGGAAGUUUUAAAAUAAUGGAUGAAUACAUUUACCAUUUUAACAAAACAGCAAACUGUCUGAAGGGCUGUUUUUGGCUAACUAAAGUGACUGUCACUGAGGCCUUGAAUCUCUUUCCACACCUGUAUCCUAACACCGUCCAUAGUAAGCCUGUUCCCUCUCAGGACAGGCACGCUUCUGACUUGUUUUCUUCCCGGAACUCUGACAACAGAGUCACCCAAACACGUACUCCUUGCUACAGGUGAACUGACCAGUGUUUUGGAAUUUUUAUGUCAACCUUAUUGUAAGUCUUCCAGCAAAAAUGUUGAUUAAAAAAAUACACAGAACUUUGUAUUUGCUUUUUUAAAAAAUGCUAGGACACUGAGGUAGUGUUAUAACCAUUUGAAAGUACCCUGUUCAUGAUGUUUUACUUGGUAAACUUGCAGGUUAAUUUAAUUAUGAAAGGGAGCCAUCCUCCCUGAGAAGUAUUUGGAUGUUUUUGAUGACGGAAUUAAAUAAUUCCUUAUUUGUUCUGUUCUAGUUCACCCAUCAAACUGAAAAAGCAAUGUUUGAAUGUUUAUGCCUCAGGGUUAAUAAUUAAGAGAUACCUCUUAGCAAAGGCAUUUUAUUACAUUUCUGACUGACCUAUAAUGUCCUGUUACAUGAGGAAAAGUAAUGAAUUGUUUUGAGAAUAAAAAUAUAAUAUUUGUUAAUGAGAUAAAAAUAGAAAAUAUCAUUCAGGAUUUUUUUUUUAAAACUGAGAGUCAUAUUGCUUUUUAUCUGUUUUAUAGUUACUCCCUGUGCAGAUCUGAAAUGAGGCUGUUAUGAUAGAAUAGAGCCUCAUGUGGAUAGGGAGUAUAUAGAUAUUAUAUGGGGCCAGCUGAAUGCAGUAUGGCAUUGAAAUAUUAUUCUGUUUGGAUUAGUUAAGGAUACAGAUAUUUAACAUACAAACGAUUAGUGUUAUAGGAAACAUACAGUCAUGAUGGUUAUAUAUUAUGUAGUUUCCUCACUUCUCUAAACGACUCUGUGCAGACUGGGACCAUCUGAGAAAGAUCACAAUUUUUCUUAAUGAUGGAUUCAUUUAGCUCUUUAUAGUAGUAGUUUCCACUUUACAGUUCUUGUCACUUAGCAGCACAGACAUCUCUUCUGGAAAUGAGUGCCACUUGCUAGGUCACCUAAAAGACUAUUGUAAAUCAACCUUCACCCAAGAUCAUAUUUGGGUAAUAAUUAAUCUAAUACAUUAAAUCAAGCUUAAGAAGUUUGAAUAUGUCCUUUACAAAGCUUAAGUAAACAAUUUAAAAUGAUUUCAAAUCAAUCAAAAAUUACAGGAGUUCCUGUCAUGGCUCAGUGGUAAUGAACCCAACUUAUAUCCAUAAAGAUGCAGGUUCGCUCCCUGGCCUCAUUCACUGGGGUAAGGAUCUGGUGUUGCCGUAGCUGUGGUAUAAGUUGCAGACACAGCUCAGAUCCCACAUUGCUAUGGCUGUGGUGUA